UUAAACCAACGGUCUAUAUUCAAUUUCUUUAUUUUCUUCAUUUUCAACCCACAACAAGUCACUAUCAAAAUUCAUUAUUCUCAAAAAAUUGAAAACCCUCACUUCCCCCCUUUUCUUCUUAUCGCCGCCUCUUUUCCGGCACACGUCGUCCCUCUGCAACCAAGACAGAGACAAAGCGAUUCAUCACUGCAAACAACCGUGACGGAAAACCAAAAGUACAGAAUCACAGAUCUGAGAAAAUUUCAAGUUAUAAGGAAAACUCACCUCAGAGCAACAAAAUACACACAACAACAACGCAAUAACAAAGAAGAAGAAGAGAGAAAUCGUUGA